rnacentral:rRNA from 1 species
GAUGAACGCUGGCGGCGUGCUUAACACAUGCAAGUCGAACGGUGAAGCCAAGCUUGCUUGGUGGAUCAGUGGCGAACGGGUGAGUAACACGUGAGCAACCUGCCCUGGACUCUGGGAUAAGCGCUGGAAACGGCGUCUAAUACUGGAUAUGAGCCUUCAUCGCAUGGUGGGGGCUGGAAGGAUUUUUUGGUCUGGGAUGGGCUCGCGGCCUAUCAGCUUGUUGGUGAGGUAAUGGCUCACCAAGGCGUCGACGGGUAGCCGGCCUGAGAGGGUGACCGGCCACACUGGGACUGAGACACGGCCCAGACUCCUACGGGAGGCAGCAGUGGGGAAUAUUGCACAAUGGGCGAAAGCCUGAUGCAGCAACGCCGCGUGAGGGAUGACGGCCUUCGGGUUGUAAACCUCUUUUAGCAGGGAAGAAGCGAAAGUGACGGUACCUGCAGAAAAAGCGCCGGCUAACUACGUGCCAGCCGCCGCGGUAA